rnacentral:rRNA from 1 species
UAGGGAAUCUUCGGCAAUGGGGGGAACCCUGACCGAGCAACGCCGCGUGAGUGAAGAAGGUUUUCGGAUCGUAAAGCUCUGUUGUUAAGGAAGAACGAGUGUGAGAAUGGAAAGUUCACACUGUGACGGUACUUAACCAGAAAGGGACGGCUAACUACGUGCCAGCAGCCGCGGUAAUACGUAGGUCCCGAGCGUUGUCCGGAUUUAUUGGGCGUAAAGCGAGCGCAGGCGGUUAGAUAAGUCUGAAGUUAAAGGCAGUGGCUCAACCAUUGUAGGCUUUGGAAACUGUUUAACUUGAGUGCAGAAGGGGAGAGUGGAAUUCCAUGUGUAGCGGUGAAAUGCGUAGAUAUAUGGAGGAACACCGGUGGCGAAAGCGGCUCUCUGGUCUGUAACUGACGCUGAGGCUCGAAAGCGUGGGGAGCGAACAGG